rnacentral:rRNA from 1 species
UACGUAGGGUGCAAGCGUUGUCCGGAAUUAUUGGGCGUAAAGAGCUCGUAGGCGGUUUGUCGCGUCGGCUGUGAAAUCCCGAGGCUCAACCUCGGGCCUGCAGUCGAUACGGGCAAACUAGAGUGUGGUAGGGGAGACUGGAAUUCCUGGUGUAGCGGUGAAAUGCGCAGAUAUCAGGAGGAACACCAGUGGCGAAGGCGGCUUCCUGGCCUGCAACUGACGCUGAGACGCGAAAGCGUGGGGAGCGAACCGG